UGGGUGUGGUGCUUUACAGUGAGGCAAAGAAGAGGUCUAAAGUAACAGCACACUGAUGAUUUGUAUGAAAGAUUCAAUCUUGAUGAUGUAAAAGAAAGUUACUACAAUAUUACCACGGGUGCGGGCUCUUUUUUUACUUUGCUUAUGCUUCUUUUCCUUUUUAUUAUUUGGUCUAAUUAGAAUUCAUUGAUCAAGGUGGGG
rnacentral:lncRNA from 1 species